UCUGGCUUCAAUCGGAAGACGAGAAAAAACAUGAAGCAGGUGUCUGGCUGUGCUUUCUUGGGCACUGAGUUGGGUUCCCGCCUUCCAGUUUGAAGUUCCAGAUUUCCGUCCUUCACCCAUUUCACUCCUUCAUUUGCAGAACAUUUUAUAACUCCUCACCAUGUUUUUCGACUAUCCUAUUCUGCCCCGUUAAUGUCUUGCCCGUUUUCUAUUCCUUUUAUCCCUUCUCAGCCGGUUUGUUCGUUCCCCGGCGAUCGCAAUCGUGUUCAGAGUGGACACUGUUUCCAGGCGAUGGCUCUAACGGUCAAUCUCAUUCGGUAAGUCUGUGGCUCAUCUCAGGGUAAGUUGGCGGGCUUUGAAAUUGUUUUUCUGUUUCUUUUUUUUUUUUUCAAAAUUUUUCUUCCCGGGUGUUGGCGGUUCGCACGAUCGUGGGGGAAAUUUUAACUCUAUGUAUUUUCAAAUCACUCUUACUUAAUUCUUGAAAUUUCACAAACCCAGAGUUUUCUGUCCCGUCUGUUUAUAGUUAUUCCACCAAGAUAAGUGGAAUAUGCCAACGAUCUAUUGUUUGAAGAACUGUGCUUGAAGAGCCCAUCAUGCGACACUUUGAUUCCAUGAAGCGGGACAAAGCCUACGAGGCAAGUGUUCAAAGCGGGGAAAGGAAGGUUUAAGGUUGUGGGAAGAGCUGGUAUGGGGAUCAACAGUGUCGAUCUGCAAGCUGCUACAAAGUUCGGUUGCCAUUAACGCUCCCACCACCAAUACCAACACCGUCACCAAGUACGGCAUUGGUCUCCUCACCGCCAUGGCCAGAAAUGUUGCACAGGUCGACACUUCCAUGAAAUUUGAAGAUGGAAUUGCCUUAAGGAAGGUGAUCCUUAGGGUGGGUCUUUGCUAAAGUUCUCAAUCCAGAUGAGCUUCUUGAUUCAGUGCCGCGCUGUAAAAGGGAAGAGGAAAUUUUCUGUCUGUCUUUAGGGUCACUGAAAUCGAUUCCAAUGAGACGGAGAACGAAGAUGAAGUACCUUGAACUUUGUGACCUCGAUUCUCCAAGUCAAUCCAAUUGAGAAAAUGAAGAAGCAAUCUAUGGAGUCCACAAGAAGCAUCCUUGCACUGGUUACGCUGCAAGGGAGGAAAAAAACGAAGCAGGAAAAUAGGGACCUUGAAGGCCAUAAAGUCUUGAAGCAGCUCUGAGGAUGCCAAAGAAGGAAGUCACUCAAUGGGGUUAAUCGAAGAUUUGGGUUCGAAAAAUUGGCUCAAUUUCUACGAGGCUUUGCUUGGUGUGAUUCACUUUCCUCUCUCAUGAUCUUACUUUCGUUGGUUGGUGUUGUUAAUGGAUGGAAUGGGAUUGACAGAAGGGUUAAAUCUUAACUGCGGGCAUAUGUCAGCUAUGACACCCUCAGAAUCAGGUCCUAAGCUACUACAUCUCUCUCCCGCAGCGUCUCCAAGAUGCGACCUAAAUAUCAAUGCAAGGCUUGCCUCUGUAAACUUUAGCAUGGAUCAUGCAGAAGUAGAGACAAGAGGAGCUCAAGCUCAUAGCAUCUGCACAAAAAUGUAUACAAGGGAGACAAACGGAGACCAAAAAACGUGGUAUCUUUUGUAAUAGGCAUGGAUCUCUUCUUGGGACUAUUUGAACAUUAGGUUCUCUUUUCACUUUAGUUGUGUUGUUGCAGUACCAAUUCAUCAAUUUUGGGCGCACAUUUGCUAAAGAUUCCACUGCUUUGAAAUUUUAUACCUUGAACAUCUAAUGAUUUAGGAAGUAUAUGGAGAGGGGAUGCUCAUUUAGUUUAGAGAUAUGAUUAUUAAUUCAUUUGGAAAACUUGAGUUGCACUAAUAUGGGAGAAGAGUUCUUCAGAGAUUACUAGGACUAUUGAACAAAGGACACGUUGAACUCAAGAGCUGCGGGAAGAAAAGUUUUCAUGUGGAGCAAGAUGCUACCAUUUGAAUCUCUUUAUGAGAGAUCGAUGGCCAAGUGAAUGGAUGAGAAUUUUGUAUAUGUGGAGGGAUAGUGGGAAACAAAAUGACUGGGUUGUAAGUUUCUAUCAUAAAAUUGAGCCACUUCUACCAGUGAUCUCAGAAAUUAAAGCAAUUAUUAUGAGAUUAAGACUUUGUUGGGAGAACGCAUUUAGGCACAUUAACGUUGUAUUAUACCAUCUCUGAGUCCAAGCUAUCAAUGUGAUCGCAAGGAACAUAAAAAGUGAACAUUCCUUUAGCCAAGUCAUCUGAGGCUAGGAUUUAGUUUGUGAAUUUACUUUUCAUGUGUCGACGUCAUUGGUGUGAAUUUUAUAUUGAUAUGUAAUUAUUUAUACAAGCAGGGGUGGGCCUAUUUGUAAAAUAGAGGAGGCAAUUACCCCAACAUGCUUAGUAAAACAUACACAUAGUGAUCUUAAAUA